AUGUGUGGUGUGCCUUCCCACCUAGCUCAGGGCUUCCAAAUCCUAGUUGUCCCUAGGGUCUAGUUCAGAGACCAUCUCUUCCAUGAAGCUUUUAUUUAUUUUAUUUUAUUUUAUUUUAUUUUAUUUUAUUUUAUUUUAUUUUAUUUUUGAGAUGGAGUUUCACUUUUGUUGCCCAGGCUGGAGUGCAAUGGCGAGAUCUUGACUCACUGCAACCUCCACCUCCCGGGUUCAAGCGACUCGCCUGCCUCAACCUCCAGAGUAGCUGGGAUUACAGGCACGUGCCACCACGCCUGGCUAAUUUUUUGUAUUUUUAGUAGAGAUGGGGUUUUACCACGUUGGCCAGGCUGGUCUUGAACUCCUGACCUCAGGUGAUCCACCUGCCUCGGCCUCCCAAAGUGUUGGGAUUACAGGCGUGAGCCACCAUGCCCGGCCAACCAUGAAGCUCUUAAAUCCACAGUCAGAGGUAAUCUUUUCGCCUCUGAAUUCCCACAGCACUCUCCUUACACCACUUUCAAGACAUUUACCCACAUCCUAUCUCAAUUUCUACUUGGUGUAUACAUUAUGCUCCAUUGCAUACUGAGCAUCUCCGCAGAAGAAGCCCCAUGACUCUUUGCCGUGUCUCCAGAGUGCCUCACCAAGCUCUGUGCUAUACAUUCAGUAACUUCUUAGGAAUGAAUGAAUGAAUGAAUGAAUGAAUGGCAUUCAGUGUAUACAGAGAGUCAUAAGAUCACUGCAGUGUAACUGUAACAAUAUCCAUCUUUAUUAGGAGAAAUCACUAUGAGAAUAUUAUGUCAAUUUUUUUUCUUAUAGUGAAUGUUGAUUUUUAAAAAAAAUGUAGGGGUGUGCCUUAGAAAACCUUCCUCUUGGGAAACAAAGCCAACUAGUGAUUCCAGCAGGUCCUACAGAUUCUCUGUGUAAGAAGCUAGGGAAAGGAUUCCCUUUCUCUCUUAUUUGAAUCCUGGUCAUACCAUGUACUAGUUUUUUCACCCCGGGAAAGUCACUUGACUUUGUGAGCCUCCAUUUCUUCACCUGUAAAAUAGGUAUAUUAAUGCCAGAUUGAUUCAAGUAUUAUCAAAAACAUGUGUGGGAAGUACUUAACACAGUGCCUGGCACAUAGCAAGUUCCCCAGAAAUGGUAAAAUGAACUGAACUAAGAUUAUAAAACCCCAAAUUCUAAAUCCACCUUCCUUAUUGGGUGAUUCUGGAUAAGGCUUUUGAUCUCCCUGAGACUUAGUUUACUUAUCAGUACAAGAACUUUGUGAAGACCAAAAUAAACAGCAGCAAAUAUAAGGCACCUAACAAAGUGCCUCUCCCAUUGCAAACAUUCACUCUAAAUGUUAGCCCCUUCCUCCCGUUUCUCUUUCCUAGCAAGUCACCUGGCAGCCUUUACAAAGAAAGAGGGAAUCAAUUGUACAACACUGGCCCUAUUUCUCCCUUUACUCUUGUGAGAUUCCAGGAGCGAAGAGAGAAAUCGAUGUUACAUCAAUGAGUCAUCAUUUAUAGCCCAGUUCCUGAGCUGCCUCAUGAAGCAGUGAACUCCUUGACACUGAGACAGUCAGGAAGAAUAAAACCUCCAGAUGAGAUGGGCUGUGGGUAGUGAGGAAUAACAUUAAUAUGCAUCAAUGCAGGGGAGAACUGAGUCAUCGCUAAGACACCUCCCUACUCUGUGAUUCAGUUGUGAGUCGCGACAGAACACAGACCAUGUGACUUGGGGAAACACUGAGCAGUGCUUCCUUUAUUUCUGUAGCUGCAAAUAGGGACAUAUAACUACCCUGGUCGCAUACACUCAGACUGAAGCCGUGGCUGAAAGACACUUUAUGGAUGGCAUUGGCUAUCAGGAUCCUCAUAUUACUUAGCAGAACAUAGGGCUGUGCUUUACCCCUAGCUGAAGAAUACAUGCAUUUUGAGAUAAUGUCACCUCAAAACAGUUUUGGAAAUAGGCCAGGCCCCAAUCAAUAAAUAGAUGAAAUUGUACAGGGAAAAUUGUCUUGAAAAGCUGUCAGACUAUACAAAGUUUCAUUGUUAAACUUCACAUUUUAAAAAAUUAUUAUACUAUUUCAAAUACAGAUUUUGAACUAUUUUACACCCACAAAAGUUUCUAAUAUUGGUGGAAGCAAACUGAUUGAGCCAUCCCAACAGCUUUUCCAACUGGCUUGUUUUAGGUAUGACCAUGGAAAAAGGCUGUGUCUAUACUGAGUUCCAGGAAGAAUGUUCAAGUCAGAGUCAGCAGAAGUCAGGUGGGGCGCUGACCCUCUGGCUCUGCCCUCUCUAAUCAGCCUUCCCCAACCCAUUUAGAAUUGGAAUCUGAAGAAUUCCCUUUCUGGCUCAGGUUCAACAGAUUUUGGUCCUGUCUACAAGCAUUUUCAUUUUCUUGCCCCGAGAGCCUGUGCUUGGGCUUUUCUGGAGACUCAGCUCCCCCAUCAAUUGUCCAAAAUGCCUAACUUCAGCUCCCAACUCUGCAGGUAUAUAAGUCAUCCACCCUUGCUCUUUCUUCCUGGGCCACCCCUGAUGGAAAGAAGCCCACUGGGGCUGGGACACCUACCUCCCAGCACCUCGCAGUCGCUGUCCAUGCUGUCAUGCACACCUGCAAAGAUGUUGGCCAGAGUGGACUUGCCCACCCCCUGCUCCCCUAUGAGCACCACUCGGUAGUAGGUGUUCCCUGACUCAGAGGAGAUGACUGAGUCUGUGGAGUCAGAGGACCAGCUUCGGCGGCAGUGGUCCUCAGGGGUAGCAGAAUGGCGGUUGCGGUGGCUGUACUGGUGGGGCUCUUUCUGGACCAUCAGAUGCCUGCCAUCGGCUGGGAUGCUCCAGCGCUGCUGCUGUGGCUGCAUGCCCACAGUGCCCUGGCGCAUGGUGACAUUAUUCAGAGUCAUCGUUGGGUCC